rnacentral:rRNA from 1 species
GUCGAUUCCGGAGAGGGAGCCUGAGAAACGGCUACCACAUCUAAGGAAGGCAGCAGGCGCGUAAAUUACCCAAUCCUGAUUCAGGGAGGUAGUGACAAGAAAUAACAACCUGGGGACCUCAUGGUCUUACGGGAUUGCAAUGAGAACAAUUUAAACGACUUAACGAGGAACAAUUAGAGGGCAAGUCUGGUGCCAGCAGCCGCGGUAAUUCCAGCUCUAAUAGUGUAUAUUAAAGUUGUUGCAGUUAAAAAGCUCGUAGUUGAACUUCUGGCUGUUGCUGGCGUUGGCUUCGGUCAUGCCAGUAGCGGUCAUCCGUCUGCAAACUACAUUAGCACUUCAGUGGGCUGUGUAGGGAGUAGACAUUUUACCUUGAAAAAUUAGAGUGUUUCAGGCAGGCCUUUGCCCGAAUACAUUAGCAUGGAAUAAUGGAAUAGGACUCGUCCUUUUUGUUGGUUAUUGGUUACGAGUACUGAUUAAUAGGGACAGUUGGGGGCAUUAGUAUUUAAUUGUCAGAGGUGAAAUUCUUGGAUUUAUUAAAGACUAACUUAUGCGAAAGCAUUUGCCAAGGAUGUUUUCAUUAAUCAAGAACGAAAGUUAGGGGAUCAAAGACGAUCAGAUACCGUCCUAGUCUUAACUAUAAACUAUACCGACUCGGGAUCGGCCGGGCUUUUACCUCGGUCGGCACCGUAUGAGAAAUCAAAGUCUUUAGGUUCUGGGGGGAGUAUGGUCGCAAGGCUGAAACUUAAAGGAAUUGACGGAAGGACACACCAGGUGUGGAGCCUGCGGCUUAAUUUGACCCAACACGGGGAAACUUACCAGGUUAAAACAUCGUUGGGAUUGACAGAUUGAGAGCUCUUUCUUGAUUCGAUGGGUGGUGGUGCAUGGCCGUUCUUAGUUGGUGGAGUGAUUUGUCUGGUUAAUUCCGUUAACGAACGAGACCUUAACCUGCUAACUAGUUCCUUGGUUCUUACUGGGGUAACUUCUUAGAGGGACUAUGGGAAGGAAGCCCAUGGAAGUUUGAGGCAAUAACAGGUCUGUGAUGCCCUUAGAUAUCCUGGGCCGCACGCGCGCUACAAUGACACUUGCAGAAAGUUCUAUCCUGGCUCGGAAGAGUUCGGGUAACCUUCUUAGUGGGUGUCGUGUUAGGGAUCGAUCUUUGGAAUUAUAGAUCUUGAACGAGGAAUAUCUAGUAUGUGCAAGUCAUCAGCUUGUACAGAUUAUGUCCCUGUCUUUUGUACACACCGCCCGUCGCUGCUACCGAUCGAGUGGUCCGGUGAACCUUUUGGAUUGAGUGUUGCCUCGUGUGACAUUUGAGAAGUUAAGUAAACCUUAUCACUUAGAGGAAGCAGAAGUCGUAACAAGGUU